UCAUUACCUAGAGUUGUAGGCUUUGCCUGCUAUCUCUUACCCAUGUCUUUUGAGUACCUUACGUUUCCUCGGUGGGUUCGCCCACCGAUUGGACAAACUUAAACCCUUUGCAGUUGAAAUCAGCGUCUGAAAAAACUUAAUAGUUACAACUUUCAACAACGGAUCUCUUGGUUCUGGCAUCGAUGAAGAACGCAGCGAAAUGCGAUAAGUAGUGUGAAUUGCAGAAUUCAGUGAAUCAUCGAAUCUUUGAACGCACAUUGCGCCCCUUGGUAUUCCAUGGGGCAUGCCUGUUCGAGCGUCAUUUGUACCUUCAAGCUCUGCUUGGUGUUGGGUGUUUGUCUCCUGUAGACUCGCCUCAAAACAAUUGGCAGCCGGCGUAUUGAUUUCGGAGCGCAGUACAUCUCGCGCUUUGCACUCAUAACGACGACAUCCAAAAGUACAUUUUUACACUCUUGACCUCGGAUCAGGUAGGGAUACCCGCUGAACUUAAGCAUAUCAAUAAGCGGAGGA
rnacentral:rRNA from 1 species